ACUGCGAAUGGCUCAUUAUAUAAGUUAUCGUUUAUUUGAUAGUACUUUACUACUUGGAUAACCGUGGUAAUUCUAGAGCUAAUACAUGCUAAAAAUCCCGACUUCGGAAGGGAUGUAUUUAUUAGAUUAAAAACCAAUGCCCUUUGGGCUCCUUGGUGAAUCAUGAUAACUUCUCGAAUCGCAUGGCCUUGCGCCGGCGAUGGUUCAUUCAAAUUUCUUCCCUAUCAACUUUCGAUGUUUGGGUAUUGGCCAAACAUGGUCGCAACGGGUAACGGAGGGUUAGGGCUCGACCCCGGAGAAGGAGCCUGAGAAACGGCUACUACAUCCAAGGAAGGCAGCAGGCGCGCAAAUUACCCAAUCCCGACUCGGGGAGGUAGUGACAAUAAAUACUGAUACGAGGCUCUUUUGGGCCUUGUAAUUGGAAUGAGUACAAUUUAAAUCUCUUAACGAGGAACAAUUGGAGGGCAAGUCUGGUGCCAGCAGCCGCGGUAAUUCCAGCUCCAAUAGCGUAUAUUAAAGUUGUUGUGGUUAAAAAGCUCGUAGUUGAACCUUGGGCCUGGCUGGCCGGUCCGCCUCACCGCGUGUACUGGUCCGGCCGGGCCUUUCCCUCUGUGGAACCUCAUGCCCUUCACUGGGUGUGACGGGGAAGCAGGACUUUUACUGUGAAAAAAUUAGAGUGCUCCAAGCAGGCCUAUGCUCGAAUACAUUAGCAUGGAAUAAUAAAAUAGGACGUGCGGUUCUAUUUUGUUGGUUUCUAGGACCGCCGUAAUGAUUAAUAGGGACAGUCGGGGGCAUCAGUAUUCAAUUGUCAGAGGUGAAAUUCUUGGAUUUAUUGAAGACUAACUACUGCGAAAGCAUUUGCCAAGGAUGUUUUCAUUAAUCAGGAACGAAAGUUAGGGGAUCGAAGACGAUCAGAUACCGUCGUAGUCUUAACCAUAAACUAUGCCGACUAGGGAUCGGACGAUGUUAUUUUUUGACUCGUUCGGCACCUUACGAGAAAUCAAAGUGUUUGGGCUCCAGGGGGAGUAUGGUCGCAAGGCUGAAACUUAAAG
rnacentral:rRNA from 1 species